CUCGUCAUCCCCCCUCUAGUCCUGGAGUUGGGGAGGGCCCCCAACUCCCUUGCCCCUCCUGCAGGCCCCGCCCAGGCCUCCCCCACCAGGGGGCAGCAGAGAGCUUUCCAGAACUGGCGCCUCCCCAGCCUAGCAGAACUGCCAACAAACAUCUAACCUUGACCCCAGGCUGCCUUCUCUGUGGGCUGGGUGGGUUUGGAAAGUGGGGAGGAGUCCGCACUGUAACUGAGAACAUGGAGACAUGACGAAGGCAAGCGCCAUCACGAUCGCCCUGAGGGCACGUCUCUGAGGACAGCGACCUGCUGGGCAGCGUCCCCGGGCUGGGCCUGCGGCCAGGCCGCGUGGGGUGGGGCCGGCGGCCGGGUCACGCUUGGCCCUCCACCUGCCUUGGAAUCCAUGCCUUCCUUGACCUUCUACCAGCUGCCCCUCCCGCCCGGGGUCCCAGCCUUGCAUCCUGGGACCCCUUGCUCUUGGGCAGCAGAACUGGAGGCCCAGAGGAGGCUCUGGGUUCAAAUCCCAGCCCCUCAUUUAGAGGCUGCGGGGUUUGGGUUGAGAAAGCUGACUUCUCUGAGCUCGUUUGGUCACAACUCAAACGAGGCUGCUAAUCUCAGGAUCUGGGGUUGAACUGAGGAUUCGAGGAGCAGAGGGCUCAGCUCAGUGCCAGACCCCAGGCUCAGUGUUGCCUGUUUCUUAUUAACGGCGCUCAUUACUAUGGGAAGAGCUCCAGCCGCCACAGGCUGCAGAACACUGAACCAAAGUCUGAGUCACUCCUAUCAAGUCGCUUAACCUCUCAGACCCUCAGUCUCUUCUUUGUAACCAAAAACAAACCCUACCUCAAGGUUCUGAGCAUGAAGACAGACCGUGUGCCGGCCACAGAGUGGGCAUGCAAAACUGGGCAGCCAGCCAGCACCCCGUUUGUAGCCGAGGCUCAAAGAUGCAAACAGCCGUGGUGUGCUCUACCUAUGGAGGGGGCCAUGUGACAAGGAGCUGAGCGGUUCCUGGCCAACAGUCCUCAACAAUAUGGGGACCUUAGUCUUGCAACCACAAGGAACUGAAUUUUGCCAACAACCACGUGGUGUGGAAGGGGUCCCUGAUUCCCAGGUAAGAUCACAGCCCAGCUGACACCUGGAUUUCAAUCUGCUGAGACCCUGAGCGGGGAACUGUGCCGCUUCGUGACCAAAGAAGGAUGCCCUGGAGGCCACCCAGGCUGUGGCGAGUAUCAGUGCACCAGAAACUUCUUCCUUCACGUCGGGAGCGGCGUCCACAGCGCAGACAGGACGGACACACCGCAGGUGGCGUAACCAUUCACGUGGGACACCUGGUCGACCCCGCUUUGGGCCAGCACCCGGAGGGCUGCUCUGAAAGACUAUGUGCAGGUUUUGUGAGAACACAAGUCUUCGCUUCUCUGGGACGAACGCCCAGGAAUGUGAUAGCCAGGUCAUGUGUGUGUGUUCAGUUUAGUUUUUUUCUUUUUCUUUUUUUUUUUUAAGAAACUUCCAGAUUGUCUCCCAGAGCUGCUGCACCAUUUCACAUGUCCUGACAGGAUUCUGACCAAAGCUUGUACCUCGGAGGAAAAAUGCAAACGUGUUUGUUAUCUUUGGUUGCCGUGGUCAAAUAUAAUUUUUAUUCCUUGUGUGUA